AUUCAAAUAGCUUAAAUAGAGUAUAAUAUUGAAGAUAUUAGGGUGGUUUAUAACCUUUGGAUA
rnacentral:tRNA from 1 species